UCUGGGUGUGUUGGCAUGCACCUGUAGUCCCAGCUAUUCAGGGAGGGUGAGGCAGGAGGAUCGCUUGAGUCCAGGAGUUUGAGUCUGCAGUGAGCUAUGAAUGUGCCACUGCACUCCCUCCUGGGCAAUAGAGCCAGACCCUGUCUCAA
rnacentral:SRP_RNA from 1 species